GUGGGGAAUCUUGCGCAAUGGGCGAAAGCCUGACGCAGCCAUGCCGCGUGAAUGAUGAAGGUCUUAGGAUUGUAAAAUUCUUUCACCGGGGACGAUAAUGACGGUACCCGGAGAAGAAGCCCCGGCUAACUUCGUGCCAGCAGCCGCGGUAAUACGAAGGGGGCUAGCGUUGCUCGGAAUUACUGGGCGUAAAGGGAGCGUAGGCGGAUAGUUCAGUCAGAGGUGAAAGCCCAGGGCUCAACCUUGGAAUUGCCUUUGAUACUGGCUGUCUUGAGUAUGGGAGAGGUUAGCGGAACUCCGAGUGUAGAGGUGAAAUUCGUAGAUAUUCGGAAGAACACCAGUGGCGAAGGCGGCUAACUGGCCCAUUACUGACGCUGAGGCUCGAAAGCGUGGGGAGCAAACAGGAUUAGAAACCCCUGUAGUCC
rnacentral:rRNA from 1 species